rnacentral:lncRNA from 1 species
CGGGGCAGGUCCUGGGUAGAGUCCAGGUUGGCGGUUCCUGGGGCAGGGCCAGGAUAGGGCGAUCCUGGAAGCUGGGCUUCGGAAGCGUCCAGCUGUUGUUCCCCACCAGAACCAAAUGAGCGCAAGAUCUGACAAAGAAAAAAAAAGGUUCAUCUUUUAUUCCUCCAAACACUUUCAUUUAAAUCAAGAGGAUGGGAUGUGGUUAUUGCUGUGUUUUUAGACAGAAUCAACGGUUUCUGGGUCUGAGAUGUUGCAUACACCUUCUCAGUCCCUGUAUCCUGAGAUGGAGUCACCUGAGAAUCCACAGCAAGUCCUAACCAGGGAUGGGUCUGGGUGAUUAAGGAAGGUUGGCUUCAGAACUGGGCCAGGGGCACUGCUUUGCUUUUGCUGUUUUGAUCAGCUCUCUGCCUGAAGGAGACAAGAAAAACCAACGGGAACAGCCCAGUAAAGGCGCCAUUCCCCAUUUUACAGCUGGGGAAACUGAGUUACAGAGCUUGUCUGCACUGAGUCAUCAGGAGCAAAUGCUAGAUCAGAUAGGGUCUCUCUCUCUGCCACCCAGGCCAGAGUGCAGUUGACGCAGGGCAGGGGAGCCCCGAAGUGGAGCAUAGUGUGUCCGGAACUGGUGGGUUCUUGGUCUCACUGACUUCAAGAAAGAAGCCGCGGACCCUCGCGAAACUCCUGGAGGGCAGAGGCAUGCCUGCCAUCUUCAUCAUUGCAUUACCACCACCCAACACUAUCGGGGGACCUGCCCUGAUAAUCAGUCUACAGGUGUAUCCAGCAGCUCCAGAGAGACAGCGACCAGCGAGAAGGGGCCAUGAUGAUGGAGGUGGUUUUGUCAAAACGAAAAUGGGGAUAUGUAGGGAAAAGAAAGAGAGAUCAGACUGUUACUGUGUCUACAUAGAAAGGGAAGACAUAAGAGACUCCAUUUUGAAAAAGACCUGUACUUUAAACAAUUGCUUUGCUGAGAUGUUGUUAAUCUGUAGCUUUGCCCCAGCCACUUUGCCCCAACCACUUUGACCCAAUCUGGAGCUCAUAAAAACAUGUGUUGUAUGAAAUCAAGGUUUAAGGCAUGUAGGGCUGUGCAGGACGUGCCUUGUUAACCAAAUGUUUGCAAGCAGUAUACUUGGUAAAAGUCAUCACCAUUCUCUCAUCUCAAUAAACCAGGGGCACAAUGCACUGUGGAAAGCCGCAGGGACCUCUGCCCUUGAAAGCUGGGUAUUGUCCAAAGUUCCUCCCCAUGUGAUAGUCUGAAAUAUGGCCUCGUGGGAUGAGAAAGACCUGACGGUCCCCCAGCGCGACACCCAUAAAAGAUCUGUGCUGAGGUGGAUUAGUCAAAGAGGAAAGACUUGCAGUUGAGAUAGAGGAAGGCCACUGUCUCCUGACUGCCCCUGGGAACUGAAUGUCUCGGUAUAAAACACGAUUGUACAUUUGUUCAGUUCUGAGAUGGGAGAAAAACCGCCCUAUGGUGGGAGGCGAGACAUGUUUACAGCAAUGCUGCCUUGUUAUCCUUUACUCCACUGAGAUGUCUGGGUGGAGAGAAACAUAAAUCUGGCUUACAUGCACGUCCAGUCAUAGUACCUUCCCUUGAACUUCAUUAUGACAUGGAUUCUAUUGCUCACGUUUGUUGCUGACCUUCUCCUUAUUAUCACCCUGCCCUCCUACUACAUUCCUUUUUGCUGAAAUAAUGAAGAUAAUAAUCAAUAAAAACUGAGGGAAUUCAGAGACCUGUGCCAGUGCAGGUCCUUAGCAUGCUAAGCGCCGGUCCCCUGGGCCCGCUGUUGUUUCUCUAUACUUUGUCUCUGUGUCUGAUUUCUUUUCUGUCUCUCAUCCCACCCGACAAGAAAUACCCACAGGUGUGGAGGGGCAGGCCACCCCUUCAGUAUGAGAUUACAG